rnacentral:misc_RNA from 1 species
GAAAGGUUACAGAUGAAAAGAAUUUUGACACUGCUACUAGAGAAAAUGUUUAGGAAGAUGGAUGGUCUACUUGAUUGUACUGAGUUGGAACGUGAAGCAGUUCAUAGUUUUUCAUGAAUACUUAGCAGAGGACAUGCCCUUAUCAGAAUAUACAUACCGGAGAUCGGGAGCUUAGGAGUUGCUUUGAUCUUUUUAUUGUAUGGCUGUAAAAUUCUGGAACACGCUAAUGCAUGUUAAAACUAUAUAUUAGCAUUAUUUUGACUCCUAAAAUUAGGAUUCAAAGUUAAUUAAGCUCCUAAACAAAUUUCAGGGA